GUACACGCUGUGACUAGCAUAUCAAUAAGCGGAGGAAAAGAAACUAACAAGGAUUCCCCUAGUAACGGCGAGUGAAGCGGGAAGAGCUCAAAUUUGAAAUCUUAAAGGGUCUCCCUUUACGAAUUGUAGUUUAAAGAAGUGUUUUCUGUUGAGGUUUUGGUAAAAGUUCUUUGGAAUAGGACAUCAUAGAGGGUGAGAAUCCCGUAUUUGACCUUUACUUUCAACUUUGUGAUACACUUUCAAAGAGUCGGAUUGUUUGAGAAUGCAGUCCAAAAUGGGUGGUAAAUUUCAUCUAAAGCUAAAUAUUGGCGAGAGACCGAUAGCGAACAAGUACCGUGAGGGAAAGAUGAAAAGAACUUUGAAAAGAGAGUUAAACAGUACGUGAAAUUGUCAAAAGGGAAGCGUUUGACACCAGUGUUGUUUUUCUGAAAAUCAAUUAAAGAACUGUUUAUGCUAAGUUGUUUAGACUUUAUCAGCUAACUGUUUAGUUUUGAGCUUUUCUUUAAUGCACUUUUCAGUUAACAAGUCAACAUCAAUUUCUUCUGCUGUAAAAAAGCUUGAGGAAGGUGGCUUGAGAUUCGUCUUAAGUGUUUAUAGCCUCUUGCCUAUGCAGUCGGAGAGAUUGAGGUCUGCAGCGUAGAUCCUUCGGGGCUAAAUGCAUUUGUGCUAAGUUAUAGCAUUUUAUAGACAACUUGUUGACUAUGAUUUGUCUUGUAGCUUACUCGCUUAUGUUAUUUUACCUACGCUUAGGAUGUUGAAGAUGUAGCACAUCAU
rnacentral:rRNA from 1 species